CCCGUCUCCCUGUCGGACUUUCUCGCAAAGCAAAAAGGUACAAGGCAAGGGCGCAACCUCGAGUCAGGCCGUCUCACUUGCUCGAAAGGUUGGGAGGAAGAGAUCGUAAACUCUUGGUGGCAGAGCGCUGCCCGUGCAGUACCCCACCACCUCAUUACCACGACACCAGUGUGCCGACUGCCAAACCUCGCCAUCAUCGACUUCUUCCUCCUGCCCCUUGCACACCAGUGACGAUGCGGCGAACCUCUGAAGUAAACUUGCAAGGAUCACAAACUGAAAAUCGGCGAGUUACACAGCGUGCCACAUAGCUCCUGUGAGCGCUUUAUCAAAGUGACACCUCUGCAUAGCAGGAAGGUUCAGACGGUGUACAGGCUGUACAAAGGAGGUGAAGGCUCCCUUUGCUGAACAGCCCGGCAAGCUGUGUACUGCAGGCUGAUCCAGGCACAGCCCCUGGAGUGCACACACCACUGUAAGGGGUGGCGAGGCGGCCAACACAAAGCGGCGGGGAGAUGGGCUUAUGAUUUAUGUCUGCCUCAGGCCCCCACUCCAGUCACGUGCUGCAACCCUCUCACCUGACUCAGGCCACAAAACCCUCCCAUCGCCAUGCAAUACGAUAGGUCAGACAAGCCAAGAAGCGACUGUAAAAGAGACAAGAACUAUUUAACAGCGCUUGAUAAGUGAUCAAAUGGCAUCUAACAUCACUUGUACAGUGACAAGAACCAUUUACAGUAGCAAAACCAUCUGUACAGUAAUAAAAGUCAUCAAACACCACCCGUACAGCAACAAGAGUCACCGUACAAUAAUAUCUAACAUGUACUGUAACAAGAGCCAUCUAACACCUGUACAAUAACAAGAGUCAUUGUACAGUAAUAUCUAACAUGUACUGUAACAAGAGCCAUCUAACACGCCUGUACACAAGUCAUUGUACAGUAACAUCUAACAACACAUGUACAGUGACAAGAGCCGUCUAACAACACCUGUACAGCAGCAUCCAAUAACCUUUAUAUCGUCUGGCCACCUAUAGUGUGUAUGGGUUACCGAGCUAAUGCACAUGAAUCUGGUGAUACACUUUCUUUCUGCCCAAAUCUGCACAACUGUAGUGCUGUAAACACCUGGGCCUAUCCUAUACCAUCCAUCUGCUGACAGAGACCACUGAUGUAUUCCGAUAACUACUCAGAAGAUGCGGGUGGCAACAGUGUUUAUUGUGUUCAGCAACAGUGCACACUCCUGUCCACCAUAAGCAACACUAGUACAUACUAAGUAUAUUCCAUUUUUACAUAUACAGUAUAUAUUAUACACUUGCAUACAUACGCAUUCAGACAGGAGUAUAUGUAUUCACAAAUAUAUGCACACAUACACUACACAUUACACACAUAUACACCUACACAUUCCUAACACAUGAAAACCUCAUACCUAUGCAACGAUAUAUUCACACUCAAGGAUCUAGUAGCCUUCAACUUUCGCGAUUUCGGUGGGUUUUUUUUUCUCUCUCUCUCACACACACGAUUGCAGAGGGCAAAAUAGUUAUGUAUGAUUGUUUUAACAGAUGUAGAACGUUUUAUGUUUUUUGUGUUCCUAGAUAUUUACAGCUAAGCAUUGGUAAACAGCAAAGUUUGCUAUAAUUUGGAAACAGCUAAAUUAGUACAUGUAAUGACUAAAUUUGACUAGCUUUUCCGCUAAUGCCACCCAUUUCUUCAGACAUAGAAAUAAUACACUGGAAUACUUUAUGUCCCUUUUGUAAAAAUGAAAAAGAUGAUGAAAUAAAUUUUGUACUGAACUGCUCAUAUUUCGAAGAUUUAAUAAAACGAUUUCAUUCCUC